CAGAUAUUCUGUAUUCCUUAGGCAGCAUCUCAGUCGACUGCUAGGAAUGAUCAGAUGCCGUGAUUACAGGCGUUUGUGUUGUGGGAGGUGAAAAAAGGGGUUACAUGUGUGACAAGCAUAUUUUCACCUAUCCAGCUGUUUGUUUAUUUGUACAUAUGUUAUACAGUUCAUAACGUUACAAUACCUGUUUACUUCCGUGUUUUGAUACCACCUCGGUGGCAAUAAUAAGCUUGAGGCAUGGCGUGAUUAGAGCGCGUAACAUUCAAACAUUUUAGAGACAAAGAUAUAGUAUAGGAAAGUUCCGGCGGGAACAUAGACGGCGCCACCUUCGGUUUUGAGAGGGUAUAUAAAGCCGUCUGCUAGCUUGUCAGUUAGACCAGACUUCGAUGACUGACCAGGCAGCAGCACAAAAAGCUGGUAGACGCGUCACAAUUGGUAGGAUCCUGAGAUUUGCUACUGAAUGUGAGGAAGAACCCACACUCGGGUUCUCGUUGCAACCAACGAUUGAUUUUUCUCCGGGAGGUCUACCUUUGGCAAACACCUGUACACAUAAAUUGUCACUACCUCUGACUAAUCUGAACAUUGAUCUGUUUGACAUGGCUUUUGUAAGCGAAUAUUUUGGGUACAAUUAAAUGAGAGGAACUGUU